UUCCAGCUCCAAUAGCGUAUAUUAAAGUUGUUGCGGUUAAAAAGCUCGUAGUUGGAUUUCUGCAUGGAAGGAGCGGUCCACCCUUUGGGAGAGUUACUGCUACCUUUUGUGCAUCUUCCUGAGAAGGCGUUCUUCACUUCAUUGUGAGGCCGCAUGACUCAGGACGUUUACUUUGAGGAAAUGAGAGUGUUUCAAGCAGGCAAAUGCCUUGAAUACGUUAGCAUGGAAUAAUAGCAUCGGACCAUCGUCCAGCUGUUGGUGUCUGGGCGAAGGUAAAGGUGAAUAGGGAUUGUUGGGGGCAUUCGUAUUUAACUGUCAGAGGUGAAAUUCUUGGAUUUGUUGAAGACGGACUACUGCGAAAGCAUCUGCCAAAGAUGUUCUCAUUA
rnacentral:rRNA from 1 species